rnacentral:rRNA from 1 species
AGCAGCCGCGGUAAUUCCAGCUCCAAUAGCGUAUAUUAAAGUUGUUGCAGUUAAAAAGCUCGUAGUUGAAUUUCGGGGUCAAUACGUCGGUCGUGCCUCUGGUAUGUACUGGUGUUAUUGAUUCCUCCUUUCUGAUGAACCAUGAUGUCAUUAAUUUGGUGUUGUGGGGAGUCAGGACUGUUACUUUAGAAAAAAAUUAGAGUGUUUAAAGCAGGCUCACGCUUGAAUACAUUAGCAUGGAAUAAUGAAAUAGGACGUUCGAACCUAUUUUGUUGGUUUCUAGGAUCAACGUAAUGAUUAAUAGGGAUAGUUGGGGGCAUUAGUAUUCAAUUGUCAGAGGUGAAAUUCUUGGAUUUAUUGAAGACUAACUACUGCGAAAGCAUUUGCCAAGGAUGUUUUCAUUAAUCAAGAACGAAAGUUAGGGGAUCGAAGACGAUCAGAUACCGUCGUAGUCUUAACCAUAAACUAUGCCGACUAGGGAUCGGAUGAUGUUAAUUUUUAAUGACUCAUUCGGCGUACC